UUUCCUACGGGGCGCAGCAGUGGGGAAUAUUGCACAAUGGGGGGAACCCUGAUGCAGCAAUGCCGCGUGAAGGAUGAAGGUUUUCGGAUUGUAAACUUCUUUUGUACGGGACGAAGAAAGUGACGGUACCGUAAGAAUAAGCCACGGCUAACUACGUGCCAGCAGCCGCGGUAAUACGUAGGUGGCAAGCGUUAUCCGGAUUUACUGGGUGUAAAGGGAGCGUAGGCGGCAGUGCAAGUCAGAAGUGAAAGCCCGGGGCUCAACUCCGGGACUGCUUUUGAAACUGUACAGCUUGAUUGCAGGAG
rnacentral:rRNA from 1 species